AAGUAGCGUGCGCCCAUUUCUAACUGAUUCAUAUUUAAGAAAAUGUCUUCUUAUUGACUUGGACGUCAUCGAGGUAUGCGUGUUGAUCACUGUUUCGCCUUUUCAUAAACAUAGCCUGAGCUCCGUAGGCACACGGAUUUUUUUGUAUUUUGCUUUUAAUCAUUGAUUGAUAUAGGCUGAUAAUUGGUCUUGAGCGUAACACUUUCAUUCUAAAGCAAACUGCAUGGUCUAAAUGAUAUCACUGUCUGCAGUUUAUUGCAUUGUUUUAUUGUGGAUUCUACUUGACCACUCCAUUGGUGAAAGAGGAGAUUGUGGGUAAAACACAUGCCUAAAUGGCAAAGACCUGGGCAAAAUGAAAGUUGAAAGAUCUGCUCCUGGCUUUCCUGAGUGUCAGACUGCUGAGACAUGAAGAAGACCACCCUGCUGACUCAGAAUCCACCUCAACACAGAGGUCCCCCUUUGGCCUUCAGCUCAUCAAUUCAAUUAAUAUGUUCAUUUCAAUAAAGCCAAAAUGGAAAAUGAUCCAUUUAAAAGUAAGGCACUUUCCAUUGAAACAAGGGAAACCCCACAUUUGUGUGGUUGAGCCAUGAAUCAUCAUAUGGCAUGUGUGGCGAUUGCAUUUAGAGAGUGAUCAGAGACAGUACCAAAGACUGGAAACAUCCCAUACUCAGCACUAGAUUUAAUGAGUGCUGAGUUGUAGUAUUUACAACA
ensembl:lncRNA